CUGUCUCCUCACUUUCUCCGUGUGUUUCUCCCUCCUGAUUUCUCGGGGUCUCUUCGUCUCUGUUUCUCUCCGUCUGUGUGUGUGUGUGUCUUUCUCUCAGUCGCUUCUUUUGUCUUUCUCCGUCUGUGUCUCUCCCACGCCUCUCCCAGGCCUCAGCUCCUCCAAUGGGCCAGUCCCAGCUGGCCCCGCACCCGCCACCCCCACUUCCCAGGAGCUUCCAGGCUGGGAAGCUCCCUCCGAUCAGAGGCCAGAGCCGGGAAGCGGGGGCUGGGCCUGGCUGCUGCGACCUUCGCUAGGACUGUGCCCUUUGCACCGGCCGCCUCAGGUUCUGCCGGCCUCGGCCUCCGGUGGGGUGAGGGCGGCCCAGAGAUGAUCAGGGGAUGGAUAAGAUGGGUCAGAGGGACGCCCCCGGGAGAGAGACCCCUUGGGGCAUCCAGGCUAGGUUGCAUCCUCCUGUCGCCUCUUAGGGAUCCCAGUGGCUCCAAAUAGAACCACUCUUCCCUGCUCCUUCCCUGGUGGGUCAGAUGGUAAAGCCAGAUGGUAAAGCGUCUGCCUACAAUGCUGGAGACCUGUGUUGGGAAGAUCCCUUGGAGAAGGCAAUGGUAACCCACUCCAGUUCUCUUGCCUGGAAAAUCCCAAGGAUGGAGGAGCCUGGUAGGCUGCAGUCCAUGGGGUCGCAAAGAGUCAACAGAACUGAGUGACUUCUCUUCUCUUUGCCUGCUCCAACAGAUCAGGCACUGGGGCAACGUAGCCAGGGAAGCCAGAGUUGGGGGGCGCGGAGAUGGUUGUUGGGUGGGGUGGGUGUGGUAAGAUUUGAGUGCUGGAGCCCCCAGCCUCCCCCACCAAGCCAUCGAGGAUGAGCCCUGAAGAUUCCCCCAAGUGUCAGGGCCAUGUGCUUGAUAAAUGACCCCCUUCUGUAAAGGGGAAGCCACACCCUAGGGUGGGAAUGUGGCUGCUUCUCACCUCCCAAGUGGCAAUCUCACCUCCCACGGGCCCUAUAUACAGUGGAGGGGGGCUUCCGGCCCUGGGUCCCCGGCCCAGCACCCCCAACUUGUGCCACUUCAUGCAUGAGAUCCCACAAGAUCACAGCUUUCUUCUGCUCCAGAUGGUCCCAUGGCUCCCUAUGUGGCUCAGAGUAAAAGUCCAAAUUCGAAAAAUACCAGGCCUUUAAGGCCCACAAGGCCUGGCACAGUCUCUCCCUCUUUUAUCUCCAUUCUUCCUAUUCCAGCCCCACUGUCUCCCCCCCUGUCCCACCCCCACACCACAUCCUCACACUCUUCAAGACCUUGGGACUUGGGGAUCAGCGUGACCGGAACACCCUGCCCCCAGCCCUUCCCAGGCAGUCACUUCCUCAGAGAGGCCUUCCCGUCUGUGUCCCCCUCCUCCCCAGUCUCACACUGCAGUUGGUACCGUCUGAAAUGACCUUCAUUAUUUACUGAUUCAUAUGGUACAUCAUAUGUCUCUGCCCUGGACUCCCAGCUCCAGGAAGGCAGGGGCCCUGUCUGUGCUUCUGCCCAGUCAUUGAGUAAAAAUUAAGAGUUUGGAGACUGGAGCCAGGCUCAGUUACUUUGUAAUCUAGGACUCCAGACAAGUGACACUCUCCUCGGAGCCUUGGUGGCCUCUUUUGUAAAAUGGAUAAUGACAGUUUCCACUCUGAGAAAUGCCAUUGAGGAGGAAGGGAUGGAACAGAGCUUCCAGACACAGGUUUCCCAUUCAAACGUCUGUCUGAACUGAAUAGAAACACUGUACUCAGGCUUGAGUGUAUACAGAUUUCCUAGCUCUGUCUGCCAUGUGUCCAGAAGCAAUGACACCCUAGAAGCAAUGCGUACACUCAGCAUCCAGAACUGGUUUCUGAAUGCCACUCUCCAGGAGGAGGAACCAGGGCUCCUUGGAGGAAUGACUGCUUCUAGGAUUAGGGCAGAGAAAAUCCACAAGGACACUGGAGCCUCUUCUAGAGCCAGAAGUGGAGAACUCAAAAAGGCAAAAGGACAGGAGCCAGCCUGAAAAGAACUCCUGCUGGCCAAAGCUGGGACAACUUGAACAAACUAGACAGCAUUAGAAUUGAAUUAUAAUCCGAAGAAUAAGUAACCACAAGUCCAAACUGAUUUAAAUACACGAGUGAGUCUAUUUUAAGAUGAGGGAGAAGGAACAACUCUUCCUGACAGAAAAAUUCCAGUUAAGUAUAAUGAGGGGCUUCCUUGGUCGGGUCCAGUGGUUAGAACAAAGAGCUUCCAUUGCAGAGGUCAUAGGUUCAAUCCUUAGUCGGGUAAGUAAGAUCCCCCAAGUGUGGGAUGCAGCAAAAAAAAAAAAAUCACUAUGCACUUUGGGUGAUAAUGAUGUGUUCAUGGGUCAUGUAGAUUCACCAGUGGUUCAAAAUACACUACUGUUGUGUGGGAUGUCCAUAGAGGGAGAGAUUUGGGGUGGGAGAUUCUGGGUGUAUACGGGAAAUCUCUGUACUUUCUGCUCAAUUUUGCUGUGAAACUAAAACUGCUAUAAAAAAAAAUAAAAUUUAUUAAUCAAAAAAAGGAGGGGGGAUAAAUUAGGAGUUUGACACUAAUAUAU